CCUUACAGCCCAUCCAUGGGGCCUGUGGUUCCAUCUCUAACUGAUGCAGUGCACAGCAAAAGGAUCUCCCUUUAGAAACCCAUCUCCCUUCUUUAGAAACCACAUUUUGUUAGGAGUCAAAUGCUCAUUUCCUAAAGAAACCUUAAAACACUGUUAGCUACAUAAAUGGGAAACAACCAAACAAGUGUGUAAGCAUUUGACACAAAUUUCACAGUCUUCCAGUGAUGCUUGCAGAAACUUGAAAGCUCCGUAUAAUUGAGAUCCUUUUAAUUUUUUUGUGCUUUUUUUGUGUUUCCUGAUCUGAAAUCAAACAAAUUCUGUCUUCUUUAGCAUGAGAUGACUUGGACCCAAAGAAGUACUAAUUGAGAUGAAAAAGCAUGCUGUCUGUGAUAAAAAGAGGAGACCUCUGAAAGAUCUAGGAUUAAGAAGCAUCACACCAAAAGACCAGUAUGAAAUGGCCCUUUCCUGGCAACUUAGGUCUCUUGUAAUUCUGAAGUGUGGGUUUUUCUACCAGCAUGUGUUUGAUUGAAAGCAUCUGAUUCCCAGCCCCUGCCAGGACAGCAGAUGCUGUGCGACUCAUUUCAGAGUGAUGCAGCGUGUGGAACUCAUGACUGCAAAAGUAACACCUUUUCUCCGAGAUCCUAUUCCAACACACUUUUGAAAUCUCUUCUCUUUGAAAACUUUUA